GGGGAAUUGUUCGCAAUGGGCGCAAGCCUGACGACGCAACGCCGCGUGGGGGAUGAAGGUCUUCGGAUUGUAAACCCCUGUUGGGUGGGACGAACACUCCUGUGGUGAAUAUCCACGAGAGCUGACGGUACCACCUGAGGAAGCCCCGGCUAACUACGCGCCAGCAGCCGCGGUAAUACGUAGGUGGCAAGCGUUGUCCGGAUUUAUUGGGUUUAAAGGGUGCGUAGGCGGCCUAUUAAGUCAGUUCUGAAAUAUCCCGGCUUAACCGGGAGGGUGGGAUUGAUACUGAUGGGCUUGAGUGGAGUCGAGGUAGGCGGAAUUGACGGUGUAGCGGUGAAAUGCUUAGAUAUCGUCAAGAACACCGAUAGUGUAGACAGCUUACUAGACUUCAACUGACGCUGAGGCACGAAAGUGUGGGGAUCAAA
rnacentral:rRNA from 1 species